UGGGGAAUAUUGCACAAUGGGCGAAAGCCUGAUGCAGCAACGCCGCGUGAAGGAUGAAGUAUUUCGGUAUGUAAACUUCUAUCAGCAGGGAAGAUAACGACGGUACCUGACUAAGAAGCCCCGGCUAACUACGUGCC
rnacentral:rRNA from 1 species